UUAUCGUAGAUGUACAGCAGCACACCACAAAGGACAAAUAUGAUCAUAUAAACUUUUUCUCAGGUUUACGUUUUCCAGAGUACAUCCAGUAACCUGAUGCACAUCACAAAUGGCCCCAGAAAACCAUUACGCAUACUUCAUACCACUAAGGACUUUUCUACAUAGAGAGAACACUACAGAAGCCCUCUGCACAGGCGCUGCUAUACAUUAUGUCAGGGAUAGGCACCCUUCGCCACUUCAAAUGUUGUGGACUACAUCUCCCAUAAUGCUCUUACAUCCAUCAUGCUGGAAAAGCAUCAGAGGAGAUGUAGUCAACAACACAUUGAGUGACAAAGAUUGCCUACAUUUGGCAGCCCUCUCUAGUCUCAGCAUAACACUGUUUUGGAUAGAAAUUAAUGUAGGUAAAAUGUCUAUUUAGUGGGGGGCGGAGCCUGGACACCAAGCCGUGCAGAUGUGUCUGACACGAGCUCCUGCCACACGGGCCGAAAAAGGGGGAAAAUCAGGGGGCCAUAUGGCCCAAGACCCAUCCAUGGUGCACCACCCAAGUCGGGGGUGCACUGCUGAACAGAAAGACAUCUCCCCGAAGUCCGUAGCGGCCAGGAUUGCAAAGUUACAAACGUGGCCUACUGGGACUGGAGCCGGUGGGAGACUGCAGCCCUCCCCGGUGCAAAGGCCCUCAAGCGCCUCACAUAAUUACAAAUCACUGCAUAGGCCAGACAUACUGUACUAAAGGCAUGACACUGUACAAUCAGAUACAAAGAUAAGCGUAUAUAGCUAUGAUCUGUAACGCAAAUCACUUGCCUUUAUAAGCGUAAGAAAUUAUCCUGUUUAUGUAACUACUUUUAAAAAAAAAGUGCAAUGUCAUUAAUGCCAUGUGCUUAAGCGUGGAUGCAAACUUGAUUGCUCCAGCUAUUGUGGCAGUGCAAAUCCGCCUGUUAAACUUAUGCACGAACAAAAAUAAAGAAUUAAAAAAAAAAAAGUCUAUUUACUAUGUAUUCAGUAUUUAUUCAAAAUGGCUGUUAAAGCACCCCCUCCCAUCGACCAAACACCAAGUGUAACAAGAUGGCGUCUCCAUCCGGAGUAAAAUCCCGAGAUGAUGGUGACAUCACACUUUGGAGGAAGUGCAUUAGAUAAGACACUUGAUCAAUUAAAGAUGUAUACUCUGUUAUCUCAUGUUUUUUGCAUAUGAUGUAUUUUCUGCUUUAUAAGGGGUCUGCCGCCCCUCUAAGUAAACAUUCCGAAGUUUUUC